rnacentral:rRNA from 1 species
GUAGGUGGCAAGCGUUGUCCGGAAUUAUUGGGCGUAAAGCGCGCGCAGGCGGUUCUUUAAGUCUGAUGUGAAAGCCCACGGCUCAACCGUGGAGGGUCAUUGGAAACUGGAGAACUUGAGUACAGAAGAGGAAAGCGGAAUUCCACGUGUAGCGGUGAAAUGCGUAGAGAUGUGGAGGAACACCAGUGGCGAAGGCGGCUUUCUGGUCUGUAACUGACGCUGAGGCGCGAAAGCGUGGGGAGCAAACAGGAUUAGAUACCCUGGUAGUCCACGCCGUAAACGAUGAGUGCUAAGUGUUAGGGGGUUUCCGCCCCCUUAGUGCUGCAGCUAACGCAUUAAGCACUCGCCUGGGAGUACGGCCGCAAGGCUG